GGGCGAGCUGGGCACUGGUUGAGCCCAAGGGCCUGUAAAGCCCCCGCUUCGGCUGUGGCGGUUCGAAUCCGCCCUCGCCCA
rnacentral:tRNA from 1 species